AAGAAGACUCCUAAACAGAUUAUUUUCCUGCAGUGUGGUGGGGAGUCUGAUAAAGGUAAGCCCAGGUUUGUUAAUGCACCUAGCCCAAUCAUGGGGAGGAAAAGAGGAUCAAGGGGAGCCUUUUCUGGAGAAAGUGAUAAUUUGAGUCUUGAGAGAAGACUGAGUCUUUUCUUGUGUGAAUGAUGUUGAGAAUGGAACCAAGGGCCUUGUACAUGCUAGGCAAGUGCUUUACCACUGAGCUAUACCCCAGUCCUGAAAGGAGAUUGUCUUAAAAGUAAAAGGCAGAGCAGAUAACUGAAGAAGACAAUAUUAUAUGGAGAUCUGCAGAAAAUUUGGGGUUGUUAGAGUUUAAAUUUUAAGCUGUAGAAUGGCAGAAACAAGUCCUAGGAAAACAGGCAAGAACCAGAUCCUGCAGGGCCUUGUGUACUGACACUAAGGAGUUGGAAUUCUUAUCAAUUAUAAUUGUUGUUUUCAAAUUUAGUUGUGCAUCAGAUUCACUUGUGGAAAUUUCUUGAAACGAACUAAAACCAAUAAAUCAGUUCCCAGGGCCCUCCCUGAGCUCCUGAAUCAGAAUCCCUGCUGAUUUGUAUUUUUAACAGCUUAAGAAGUUUCCAAUACUCCACAGCUUGAGUAGUUUUGCUAUGGGGAGCUACUAAAGGUUUUUAAGUAAGGGUAUAACAACCAAUUUUUUUUUGUGUUGGAAAUAUCACAAUCAUUCUGACAGAAUGGAGGAUGGAGUUGAGAGGAAAGCUGGAGGUUUUUCAGAUUAGAGAUGAAGAUACAGUGUCUAUGGAGAUGGACACACAGAUGGAGAAGAUGAAUUAAAAAGGAAUUGGAAUUUGCAAUUUUUUGUGACUGACAAGAUUUGGGUGCUAAAGGGAUAGGAUUUAAGGAAAAACCUUAAUUGGGUGACAGUACAAUUACUUUUCACAUAUGAGGAACGGAGGAGGGACAGUUGGAUUUCCCCCCUGCUUCUUAUUUAUGACUACAGUCUUCAAUGUGGUGAAAGUGGAUUAAAGAGUUUCCCCCAAAGGCUUCCAGGCAUAUCAUCCUUGCUUUUGAAUAUCUGUAUCAACAUCAAUAGAGAUAUAUGUGUAUGCUCC
rnacentral:lncRNA from 1 species